rnacentral:rRNA from 1 species
GACGAACGCUGGCGGCGUGCUUAACACAUGCAAGUCGAACGGAAAGGCCCUGCUUGCAGGGUGCUCGAGUGGCGAACGGGUGAGUAACACGUGGGUGAUCUGCCCCUUAUUUUGGGAUAAGCCUGGGAAACUGGGUCUAAUACUGGAUAGGACCAUGCUGUAGGUGGUGUGGUGGAAAGAUUAGUUUCGGUAAGGGAUGAGCUCGCGGCCUAUCAGCUUGUUGGUGGGGUAAUGGCCUACCAAGGCGUCGACGGGUAGCCGGCCUGAGAGGGUGGACGGCCACAUUGGGACUGAGAUGCGGCCCAGACUCCUACGAGAGGCAGCAGUGGGGAAUAUUGCACAAUGGGCGCAAGCCUGAUGCAGCGACGCCGCGUGGGGGAUGACGGCCUUCGGGUUGUAAACUCCUUUCAGCCAUGACGAAGCCCUUGUGGUGACGGUAGUGGUAGAAGAAGCACCGGCUAACUACGUG